UACGGAGGGUGCGAGCGUUGUCCGGAAUCAUUGGACGUAAAGGGCGCGUAGGUGGCGGCUUAAGCGUGCGGUGAAAGCUCGGGGCUCAACCCCGAGUCGGCCGUGCGAACUGAGUCGCUUGAGCACUGUAGAGGCAGGCGGAAUUCCGGGUGUAGCGGUGGAAUGCGUAGAGAUCCGGAAGAACACCGGUGGCGAAGGCGGCCUGCUGGGCAGUAGCUGACACUGAGGCGCGACAGCGUGGGGAGCAAACAGG
rnacentral:rRNA from 1 species